rnacentral:rRNA from 1 species
GACGAACGCUGGCGGCGUGCUUAACACAUGCAAGUCGAGCGGAGCGGCGAACGGGUGAGUAACGCGUGAGUAACUGCCCCCCUCUCUGGGAUAACAGUUGGAAACGGCUGCUAAUACCGGAUAGUGGGGGAUGACUCGCGUCUUAUCAGCUUGUUGGUGGGGUAGUGGCCUACUAAGGCGGCGACGGGUAGCCGGCCUGAGGGGGGGACCGGCCACAAGGGGCAUGGGUAGGGACCAAAUGCCUACGGGAGGCAACGGUGGGGAUUAUUACACAAUGGGGGAGACCGUGAUGCAGCAUCGCCGUGUGCGUAAUGACAGCUUUCGGGAUGUAAACCGUUUUCAUCCGUGACGCGGUAGUGACAGAAAAAGCACCGGCUAACUACGUGCCAGCAGCCGCGGUAAUUC